rnacentral:rRNA from 1 species
UACGAGGGGGGCAAAUGUUGUUCGGAAUCACUGGGCGUAAAGGGCGCGUAGGCGGGUUUCUAAGUCAGGUGUUUAAUCCCGGGGCCCAACCCCGGACAGGCACUUGAAACUGGGAAUCUUGAAUAGUGGAGAGGUCAGUGGAAUUGGGGGUGUAGCGGUGGAAUGCGUAGAGAUCCCCAAGAACACCAGUUGCGAAGGCGGCUGACUGGACACAUAUUGACGCUGAGGCGCGAAAGCAUGGGGAGCAAACAGG